CUACAGGCUUAACACAUGCAAGUCGAGGGGCAGCAUGGUCUUAGCUUGCUAAGGCCGAUGGCGACCGGCGCACGGGUGAGUAACACGUAUCCAACCUGCCGUCUACUCUUGGACAGCCUUCUGAAAGGAAGAUUAAUACAAGAUGGCAUCAUGAGUCCGCAUGUUCACAUGAUUAAAGGUAUUCCGGUAGACGAUGGGGAUGCGUUCCAUUAGAUAGUAGGCGGGGUAACGGCCCACCUAGUCUUCGAUGGAUAGGGGUUCUGAGGGGAAGGUCCCCCACAUUGGAACUGAGACACGGUCCAAACUCCUACGGGAGGCAGCAGUGAGGAAUAUUGGUCAAUGGGCGAGAGCCUGAACCAGCCAAGUAGCGUGAAGGAUGACUGCCCUAUGGGUUGUAAACUUCUUUUAUAAAGGAAUAAAGUCGGGUAUGGAUACCCGUUUGCAUGUACUUUAUGAAUAAGGAUCGGCUAACUCCGUGCCAGCAGCCGCGGUAAUACGGAGGAUCCGAGCGUUAUCCGGAUUUAUUGGGUUUAAAGGGAGCGUAGAUGGAUGUUUAAGUCAGUUGUGAAAGUUUGCGGCUCAACCGUAAAAUUGCAGUUGAUACUGGAUAUCUUGAGUGCAGUUGAGGCAGGCGGAAUUCGUGGUGUAGCGGUGAAAUGCUUAGAUAUCACGAAGAACUCCGAUUGCGAAGGCAGCCUGCUAAGCUGCAACUGACAUUGAGGCUCGAAAGUGUGGGUAUCAAACAGGAUUAGAUACCCUGGUAGUCCACACGGUAAACGAUGAAUACUCGCUGUUUGCGAUAUACGGCAAGCGGCCAAGCGAAAGCGUUAAGUAUUCCACCUGGGGAGUACGCCGGCAACGGUGAAACUCAAAGGAAUUGACGGGGGCCCGCACAAGCGGAGGAACAUGUGGUUUAAUUCGAUGAUACGCGAGGAACCUUACCCGGGCUUAAAUUGCAGAUGAAUUACGGUGAAAGCCGUAAGCCGCAAGGCAUCUGUGAAGGUGCUGCAUGGUUGUCGUCAGCUCGUGCCGUGAGGUGUCGGCUUAAGUGCCAUAACGAGCGCAACCCUUGUUGUCAGUUACUAACAGGUUCCGCUGAGGACUCUGACAAGACUGCCAUCGUAGGAUGUGAGGAAGGUGGGGAUGACGCCAAAUCAGCACGGCCCUUACGUCCGGGGCUACACACGUGUUACAAUGGGGGGUACAGAGGGCCGCUACCACGCGAGUGGAUGCCAAUCCCCAAAACCUCUCUCAGUUCGGACUGGAGUCUGCAACCCGACUCCACGAAGCUGGAUUCGCUAGUAAUCGCGCAUCAGCCACGGCGCGGUGAAUACGUUCCCGGGCCUUGUACACACCGCCCGUCAAGCCAUGGGAGCCGGGGGUACCUGAAGUGCGUAACCGCGAGGAGCGCCCUAGGGUAAAACUGGUGACUGGGGCUAAGUCAUAA
rnacentral:rRNA from 1 species